rnacentral:rRNA from 1 species
AUUGAACGCUGGCGGCAUGCCUUACACAUGCAAGUCGAACGGCAGCACGGGUGCUUGCACCUGGUGGCGAGUGGCGAACGGGUGAGUAAUACAUCGGAACAUGUCCUGUAGUGGGGGAUAGCCCGGCGAAAGCCGGAUUAAUACCGCAUACGAUCUACGGAUGAAAGCGGGGGACCUUCGGGCCUCGCGCUAUAGGGUUGGCCGAUGGCUGAUUAGCUAGUUGGUGGGGUAAAGGCCUACCAAGGCGACGAUCAGUAGCUGGUCUGAGAGGACGACCAGCCACACUGGGACUGAGACACGGCCCAGACUCCUACGGGAGGCAGCAGUGGCGAAUUUUGGACAAUGGGCGAAAGCCUGAUCCAGCAAUGCCGCGUGUGUGAAGAAGGCCUUCGGGUUGUAAAGCACUUUUGUCCGGAAAGAAAUCCUUGGCCCUAAUACGGUCGGGGGAUGACGGUACCGGAAGAAUAAGCACCGGCUAACUACGUG